GUGCCCUUUUUUUGGGCCAAAAGUUAAACUUUUCACACUCCCGACCUCCUUUCCCUCUCCCUCUCCUUCUUUCUUUGCUCUCAUCUGCCAUCUCUUCCUCAUCGAACAAACCAAAUUGUGGAGCUCAGAUUCUUUAGCUCUGAGCAAAAAAAAUCCACUCACCACGGAUGGGUUUUUCCAGUCCUUCCCUUCAAUUCCAGUGAUUCAAAAUUUUGUUGUGUGUGUGGCUGUAAAUUCGAUAUAGGGAUUUAAUUGGGAAGGAGUUGUUGGAGAAGGAGGUGACGAAGGCUGCAGAGCCGCUGUUGUCUCGCACACUAACCCCAUGAACCCAAGACACCCAUUUCUCCAGAACGCACUCAACUUCUUCUUCACCAAUCGUUCGCUGCCGCUUUAGGGCUCGCUGUCCCUUAACGACACUCCGGCCUCCGUCGUUGAUUCCAAGAGCGGUGUGUUGUUUCCCUCGGUCUUGGCCAGGACUCGGCGACUUCUGGGAAUUGGGUUGAGGAGAAAACGCGUGCUGGGGUUGUAGAACAUCGAUUUGUAUUCAUAUGGUAUCUAAACAGAUAGUGAAAGACAUGACGACUGC